AUGGCGUACACGAAGUUGAGUGAGUUAACCACAAGGGGGCAAACAUGGAAUAAUAAAGCCAAAGUAAUGAGAAUGUGGGACUCGAUCAAUCAUUCGACUGAUGAACUUAUGAGCAUCGAUAUGAUCUUGAUGGAUGAGCAGGAGAUGGAAGGUUCAUCAGAUAAUUUUCCAGAUUACUACUUUGAGUUUGCUAGCAAAGAUACCCUACAGGAACGGCUAGAAAAAGACAAACAAUGCUCAGAUGUCAUUGGGUUACUUACCAAGAUUAAGCCAAUAGAAUCAAGGAUAACAAAGAAGAAAACACCUUCAGAUAUACAUGAGAUUGAAAUUCUAAUGCCAGACCACUCCACCGAAGAAACUUUACCAAAAAUGAUGGAUAUAGAUAAAAGUACUCAAGGGACACUAGAAGAUCAAAUGUUUUACAGAAGGAUAACCUUAAAAGAACUUACUGAAAUUAGGCAUGACAACCCAACAGAUGAGGCUGAAAGAAUGCUCAAUACAUCAGUCUCAUUCCUGUUGGAUUCCUUAGAUGGAAAAUCUGAAGACGUCCCAAAGAUUAUACAAGAAUUAUGUGGACGAAGACUUAUCUCUCGAUUCAGACUCAACAAUAAGAACCUCACUCUAGGCAUGCAGAACUAUGCAGUGAAGAAAAUAUUUGUGCCUGAUGAGAAGCUUGAGAAGUAUGAAUCAACAAGUGUGAACUUAGCAAAAACAUAUAAAAAGCAGUGCCCAAAAGUACCAGAAGUGUUCAUGGAAAAAGCAAAAAUAAAAAAGUUGAACAUGAAAGCUCAGAUGUUCAUAACGCGGAACAUAAAAAGUAUCAUCAACACAGCCACAAGGAUGACACGAAGUUUGACUAAAAAGUCAAACAACAUCAAGACCAAAGGUACUGAAUUGGAGGACUCAAGUCGUCAACUGGAAGAUCAAUGUUUGUCACGCCGCGCUAAUCCACGCAGGUCGACGGCUACUUGGUUGACCUCGCGGCAACUCGCCUGUGCCGGCAUCUCCGUGCGACAGCGCCACCGCGUGCCCUCCUUGGCGCAAGAUAUUGAGCAGAUCCAGCGAGAAUCAUAG
rnacentral:rRNA from 1 species